GGAUGUGAGGUAAUCUGGCUGUGACAUCUGUCACCCAUUGAUCCUCGGGGUUGAUUUGGCUGAUCUGGCUGGCUAGGAGGGUAACCCUUCUUCCUCACUGCUCCAUGUGCAUCCCUCCUGAAUCUGUGCACACUUAGUCAAAGAGGACAGCCUGCCCCCGAAUAACAACAAACUGGUAUUUGGUUGAGGCUAUACAAGAGGCUAUGCUUCCCUGCUAGUACUGCCAAACAAGCUCUUAAGAGCUAGGACAUACUGGUGAGGUCAUCUGCCUAGAGAAAUCGGGAUAGAAUCAUGGCAGCAUCUGCAGUUUUGUGUCU
ensembl:misc_RNA 7SK 7SK RNA